AUGAUUUUGGUCAGUAAAGGGGCUGAGAUAAUCCGUUUGAAAAAGGAGAAGAUUGAGGAAUUUUCCGAUGAUACCACAAGAGCAAAGUUAAGCAAUCUGACAACUAAAUAUCCCAGUGAUGAUGAGCUGUGCCAAGUCUUUCUCCGGCAUAAUUCCUGGGAAAUGUUUAAGAAAGAUCUAGUGAACCAUGUGAUGCAGCCCAAGCUCAUAAAGAUGGUCUAUCCUCCACACCCGUGCCCCACGGAUGAAACCUAUGCUUCGUGGUGCAUGAAUGAAUCAGGCAUCUUGGACCUCACUCUCCUGCGCAGCGCAAAACAACUUCCCCCAAGGCAAUGCAGAUACGUUCCCACCCUCUUUGGCCGUGACAAGGAGAGCCUGCCGGUGAUUCAACCCAAAUGGAUGCAGCCGAAACUGAUUCAUGGCAUCAAUGUCUUCCGUUCCAAUUUGGAUGGCGCAUUUUAGUGAGCUCCACAAGUUUUACAAGCUAUAGCAGCACAGAGACAUUUCUGAAAGGUCAGGGAGUCAUACUUGGUGAUUCAUACAAGUGUACAUAUAUACUUACUUUCAUUUAAUGCAAUUUUUGUUCCUUUUUCAGAAAGAGUUGUUAUGCUAUCCCCCCUCUCUCUCUUUAUGAUAGAUUUGUUUUGAAUUCUGAAAUUGUUAUGUCUUAUUUUCAAUAAUAUAUUUUUUCUUUCAAAAUGUAGCAUGUGUGUGUAUAGUGCUUGUGUGUGCACACACAUCAAUAAAAUAUAUUUAUAAUUUAUUACUGAGGUGUUUCAAGAUGUUACUUAUAUUAAUGGAGCCCCCGGUGGCGCAGUGGGUUAAACCCUUGUGCCGGCAGGAUUGCUGAUGUGAAGAUUGCCGGUUCGAAUCUAACCCGGGGAGAGCGAAGAUGAGCUCCCUCUGUCAGCUCAAGCUCCCCAUGCAGGGACAUGAGAGAAGCCUCCCACAAGGAUGGAAGAAACAUCAAAACAUCCAGGCGUCCCUGGGCAACGUCCAUGCAGACGGCCAAUUCUCUCACACCAGGAGCGACUUGCAGUUUCUCAAGUGGCUCCCGACAUGAAAAAAACCUUACAUUAAUGGGCGAGACCCCUGCUCAUAAAACAAUAGAUCUUACCUGUUUCUUUUAGCUCUUCAUCUGCAGGCUUACAUCCUAAUGCAAGUAACAUGAGACCUGAAUUCCCCCUUUGUCCCAUAUUUUAAAUAAAUAGAUAAAUCAGCACUCAUGCAUUUGCAAAACCUCACUGAGAGAAUAAACAUGUCUUAACAUAUCAUACAACAGUAAAAUCAAAAAUAAUAUCAAUUCCAGUCAUUUAAUUUCUAAUGCUCCCAAAUCCUUCUGAUCUAAUUUAACUGCAGUACAGAACGUACCAGAUAUAGCUUUGGCUUUCUGUAUUAUUGCUUGGAGCUUUUGUUGUGCUGACAUCAUAGAACAAGAAUCUAGAUCAAGCAUGGGCAAACUUUGGCCCUUUGGGUAUUUUGGACCUACCGGCUGUUAAGGAAUUGUGGGAGUUGAAAUCCAAAACGCCUGGAGGGCCAAAGUUUGCACAUGCUUGAUCUAGAUAUUGGACUCCAAAUCCUAUUAAUGCCACCUAGUUUUUGCAAUGAACAGGGAUGAAGGAAGCUGUAGUCUUGCACCAUGAGGAACAUUACAGAUUUCCCACUCUUUUCACAGGCUGUUGCAAUUUGCUUGUGAAAAAUAAAGUGAAUCUCGUUUGAAGCUUGGUGUGUUCUCAGUACAAGGAUGCCUGAGAGUUAUCUUGUUGGCAUGCUUGAUGUUUAAAACCCUAAUCCAACAUCUGCGAGAAACAAAAACCUGCUCCACUCUUCCUCUAGUAAUCCAUGGGCGCAUCAAUCAUCUUAGAAUGGCUGUUAUUUUAGUUUCCUACUAAUCAGGGAGGAUGUUUCAUAGACUUGAUGCUUACAUGAAUGAGUUUAUGAUUUUCAGUCAGCUUUUGUUUUGUGGUUAUUCUAAAAGGAGAGUCUUUAGGACAUAAGGAUGUGUAAAUACAGCUGUAAUUCUCUCUCAGCUUGUGAUGUUCUUUAAUACGGUUUUUUUUUAAAGUAAACCUUAGUUCUGUUCUACAUUAAACUUCCAGAUGGCAAUUAAAUCAAUGACU
rnacentral:lncRNA from 1 species